ensembl:lncRNA
CCGAGCUCUGGCCCUCAGUCUUUAGCGCUAUCUCUUCUAUUUAUACACUGUGUGAAUGAACAUGUCAUGCACCAGGGAAAUAUGCAUCUACACGUCGCAGACGGCACACAGACGCCCUGUGCCCUCCGUGAUUGGUGUCUCGGGGCUGCGUUCAGACACCGAGGAAUAUCCUGUCAUGUGCCGCCACUGCUGCUAAAGGAACAGAAACAAAAGCAUCUCGGCUCAAAUAAUGUCUUCCACUUUCCCAUGAUUCAAGACGCACCGCGUGCCUCAGGCAAAGAAGCUGGAAAUGUGUGAGUGUGCGCGCUAAAUAUAACCAGCCCCGGAGAGCGCCCUCCCAGAAGGGCUGGUGCUCAACUUCUAACAUAACUCAGAGAGCAGAGAGCGACCCGUACGCUAAACAAACUUUACGCGGGCUUCGAUUACUCGGAGUAUGGAGGAGGAGGUCCCAGUGAAGCGGUCCGUGGCAGAACUGGCGGGGAAGUUUAAAAAUGUCGUCCCUGACAAUGAGCCAGCACCCAAGCCGGUCAGACUUCGCCCUCCCCGGUCCUUACAGAUCCAGUUACAGCACCCUGCAGAACAAGAGAAAGCAGAAGGCGCCACCACCCAGCUCGCUGCAGGACGACCCAAGCGGAACUCUGCCCUCAUAGAGAAGUUACAGGCUAACUUAGCCCUCUCUCCCUCUGCCCUUCUGACAUCGCCCUUGAGCCCCGGCUUCAAGUUCUCCCCCAAGCUUUCACUCCCCCUCCCCUGCCGCCCCGUUUCCUGUCACACCCCGUUUUCGGGUAACGCCGGUGACACCCACCAGCCCGCUGGCUGUCCUCACACCUCAGAGCGAGGAGGAAGCCCCCGCUUCCUUCGAAACCCCCCCCAGCGCCCAGGAAGGAGCCGUGCUCGUCAGCAUCAUUAAGACCAGGGCCCGCCUCUCCAUCAAGAGACGGCCUCCCUCCCGGCGCAACAGGACGGCCAGCAGCGGGGAGGAAGGGGGCGUGUCCCCCAGCACGGAGGACACGCCCCCUCUGGCCCCCUCCAGCCAGCCAGGGGAGGAGGAGCCAAAGGGUGAAGGAGAUGACGAAGGGGCGGCGCCGAGGAGCCAGGAGGGGCUCGAUGGGGAGGAGGCCCCCAGCGAGGGGCUCCCCGGACCCCCGUCGGCGAUGGAUCAGGAGGGACAUGCAGUCACACAGACGGGAACUCCUCCAGAGCCUCUGAACAGCACUGAGACCAAGG